rnacentral:rRNA from 1 species
AUCAUGGAGAGUUUGAUCCAGGCUCAGAACGAACGCUGGCGGCGCGUCUUAAGCAUGCAAGUCGAGCGGCAAGGGGUAGCAAUACCCCCUAGAGCGGCGGACUGGUGAGUAACGCGUGGGUGACCUACCCUUAGGUUGGGGAUAGCCAUUAGAAAUAGUGGGUAAUACCGAAUAUGGUUGUUUUGCUAUGGCAAGACAAAGAAAGGAGCCUUGGCUCCGCCUGAGGAUGGGCCCGCGUCCCAUUAGGUAGUUGGUGAGGUAAAGGCCCACCAAGCCCGAGAUGGGUAGCCGGCCUGAGAGGGUGAACGGCCACACUGGGACUGAGAUACGGCCCAGACUCCUACGGGAGGCAGCAGCUAAGAAUAUUCCGCAAUGG